GGAGGUAAGCAGUGUUUGUUAGCAUUUCCAGGUUUGCUGCCCCAAAGACUGUGUCUCCAGGUUUUUGGAAGUGCUUGCAAAUACCAGGUUGUACAAUGUCAUGCAAAGAGAGGGUGCUGGAGAUGAUUCGGACAGUUGGAAACAUUUUACUACUUAUUAUCUGUUAUUUCCUUCUUCUGGUAAUUCUUUAAAGAAAUGCGGUUUAAUCUUUGAAGUUUCCUCUAUAAAUUGUUAAACGCUCUCCAUCUUUUUGAAGCCCGAAGUGCAGGCAUAAUUUUGCAUGCAUGUGUGUGUUUACUUUUCACACUUCACAGCUCAGUGUUCUUACAAACCAUCAUUAACAUACAAGGUCAUGCUCAGUCUCCAGAAGCCUUUUCCAGAUGGUGUGAAAGUGCAAACAGCCUUUGCUACCUUGCAGGGAAAUACAUUGCAGGAAUGAGGCCCCCUCCUCUCGGAUCACCUUCAACUGAAAACGUGGUACGAGAAACUUUAGCAUCUGAGCAAGCAAUAAUCACUGGAGGAUCACCCGGCAAGUGUGACGGAGACACACCAGCAUGCAUGUGUUGCAUGUGACGGUCAGCGAUGCAGAAGUGGCUCUCGGCACCUUUGACAAGCUCCCUGCUGCCAGGGGUGGCCGGUGGCACUUGCCCCUGGUGCAAGUCAGAGCAGCCUGGGCCCACUGUAGCUUGUAGCAGCUAACUUGGGAAAGGCAGAUGUUUAACACUCAGAUACUGUUCUCUCGAAUGGGGUUCAUCUGGUCCCUGCUGAAGUCAAGGGGAUUCUGGUCAAUUUGCAAAAACGUGAGGUUAAAAUCACAGGAGGAGCUUACAUUGUGGCAUAUGCUUUACUGAUUACAGGAAGUUGAGCCUGCAAAAUUCAUUAUCUAAUCAGGGAAGGAUAUUUGCAGCAAAGGUAAGAAAACUAGGAUGAAGGGAUAGAUACCAGGUUAGUUUUAAAUUGAUCUCACUGCAAGAAGAUUAAAUUGAUUGGGAAGUUCAGAGAACAAAUCUGAACCUACUUAUUAAUACACUUCCA